rfam:Myotis lucifugus cont2.40142, whole genome shotgun sequence.
GGUGGAUCUCGGGUGAUGCACCCUGGAAUCAAACUCCCUCUUCUCUGGUUCUGGGGUGUGUUCCCCGAGAACCCCC